CUUAAAGGAACACUAUAGUCACCUAAAUUACUUUAGCUAAAUAAAGCAGUUUUAGUGUAUAGAUCAUUCCCCUGCAAUUUCACUGCUCAAUUCACUGUCAUUUAGGAGUUAAAUCACUUUGUUUCUGUUUAUGCAGCCCUAGCCACACCUCCCCUGGCUAUGACUGACAGAGCCUGCAUGAAAAAAAAAAACUGGUUUCACUUUCAAACAGAUGUAAUUUACCUUAAAUAAUUGUAUCUCAAUCUCUAAAUUGAACUUUAAAUCACAUACAGGAGGCUCUUGCAGGGUCUAGCAAGCUAUUAACAUAGCAGGGGAUAAGAACA